GUCCACUGGAGCCGAUUCCAAGCGCGUUGCGCACGCCUUUGGAAGUGCCAAGAGAACGAGUGGAUAUAUUUAUCGGGCACUUUCAAACAUGCUGUCCAAGAGCCCUUGCCUGUAUGUUCUGACUCGGUCCGGGGUGAAACUCAAGCUGCUGACCUUGGCAAGAAGAAGUGCGGUGCUGGCCCAUAAUAACUAUCAGAUGUGAUUCAGGUUCGAGCUGGAACGGGGGAGGGUUCGUCGUUAGUGGGGGUGGUGUAUAUAGGAGAAGGAGGAGGAAGAGUGAAGAAGAAGAAGAGGAGGGGGAAGAGAUUGUAAAUACUCUUGUAAUAAAAGGGGGUUUGGUAAUGUAAGACGACAGGCUUUAUAUCGGCAAAGUCGCACGCGUACAGCGAGCAGCCGGUCGGGCAUCCUCUGAGGAGACACAAUGGGGGUGGAAAGAUGCUUCGCGCUCGGAAGCCGCCACAAAAGCCACGGAUGGGAAAAGGGGAGAGAAGACGGGAGACAUAGUGGCUCUUGUGACUGAAGAGAAGACGGGAGGAAGGAGCGAGCGACCUCGGCGUUGGUGGAGGGAGCAUGGAGUUGCGCUUCAUGCGAGAGCCCGGAGAUUCGCUCACUGACCGAAGAGGACGCGCACUUAAUACGGGGGGUGGUGGUGGUGGUGGUGGUGGUGUGGAGAGAGGCAGGCCAGGAGGAUGAGGAGGGGGGACUGGGGGUGAUGGUAGAGAGACAGAGAGAAAGACAAGGAGAGAGAAAGUCGCCGGAGGAGUGGCGGAGGAGGUUCAACGUCAAGGGGGAAAUGCAUGACCAUUUAAGAGAUUCCCGUCGACCGUAUCGCCUUGAGAAGCCACCGCCCCAUUAAAGCGGAUUAAGUAACGACUUGUAUGAACAAGUGCGUUGACUUUCAAUAAUACACAUUUCUAGUUUAUUCCAUGCGUGAUACCCUUGGCAUUAUUACACUUUCAUUCAAAUCACUGCAAGCCCAUCCAAACUAUAUGGACCAACAAGUUUAAGGGACCCCGACCAUACAAUCCUGACUGGUAGCCACGGUUAAAAAGUGCGUCAUUUUACAGCUCCCCAAAUCCAACGCACGCUAACAUUGACCUCUCGCCCUAUACCCGCUCCAUCUAUUUUACUAUACAAAAUAUCCGCAUUUCUCUUCCUCCAAUCUCUCUCUUCAUCCUCACCUGCCACUUUACACUUUCUCCAUCACACGUAAACGCGCGUGCACGCAGGGGAUUGCUCGCAGCCUGCAGACCUCGGACGUAUGGAAAGCGCACUGGGCUUUCUCCAUAUGGAAAUUGGAAACGCACUGCCCGUCAUAAAUCAGACUUUACAAUUGUGCGGCGCAGAGAAAGCUCCCGUGCAGGCGCGCGCGCAUGUUUGCAUGUUGAUUUCAAUGCAUGAUCUUGGACUUUGGCAAAAAAUAGCUUCAUACAUGCAGGUAGUUAUUGUAAAUCUGAUAUUCAACAUCCCAUUAAUCACUUCAGCCCUUUUGGUCCGAAGAUCUUAGUCGCCCAUGUUAAAUUCAAGAGUGCACAGUGGCGUUGGUUGUUGUCAAACUAUAAGCACAUGCGGAGAAGUGUGCGCGUGUGUGUGUGCGCGCGUGUGCGUGUGUUGUGUGUGUGUGUGUCGUAAGGGACGUGAAAAAAGCUGAGAGACAACAGAGCAUCAGACCGAUGACGGUCACAUGGGCGCCUUCCUCUGCACGCACGGCAGCUCCGGGGAAAUUGAGUAACUGGGGGCGCAUUUCAAUAUAUGGAAAUGACCAGGGGGCCCCUGAGAUAAAUCAGCUCCACAUACACCCCCCACCGCAUUCACCCCCUCGUGCUCUUCUUUACACCUUCAUUUCUCUCUUGCUCUCUCGGGUCGCUGCAGUCUAUAUUGUUUUGAAAUCUAUCCCAAAAUCUGCUUCAAGAGACUUUAAUGGAUUUAUUACACCUAUAACGUGAAUAUAUGCCCCGCUCAAAAAUUUGCUCAUGCAGAUAAGGUGACUUAUGGUGUUUCCUUUUGGUACACUUGUUAAAGUGCGUGUUAAAUGUUUCAGAUACAAUAAAACCAAACUUUAGAUGAUUUUUUAGUUCACAAAUGUUCUGCAUACGGUUUGGAUAUUAGCCUCAAUGGGUUAAAGACUUUUUUCUUUCUUUUUCCCCCCCCAGGUGUCGUCUUAAUUUCUAUGCAGAGCUUCAAAUCCCUGUCACAUCCAGUCUUGCGCUUUGGCAGUGGAAUUUCAUGUGCACACACGCACGCACGUACACUCUCUCACACAUAGAGACACGCGCGCAUCGUCAAUUUUCAGCCAUCCUAAAAGAUUCGCAAAAACGGGGCCAGGCUGGAUUUUACAGCGAACUAUUAUCACGUCGCUGGAUGUGCGCACACGUCGCUGCGUCUGGCUGGUGGUAUUAGAUGAAAUCAAGCGGGAUUACGCAGCCAUGGAACAAAUUACCCCCCCCCCCCCCCCCCCCCCCAUCCAAACACACACACACACACGAUGCGAGAUCGAAGUUCAGGACAUUUAUACACGUAUGCAGUGAAUGUUAUUUAUCAUUUUAUCUCUUUUUUUUGACAGAACUUAAAUUCACUUCAUCGCAAAACGGACAAAGUGAAAGUGCCGCUCGUUAUCUCACACCAGGGCCACACAACAUCAGAUGGUGCAACCCAACUCUUCCUAUCAAGUCCCAGGCUAGCCUCCAUCACCACUAUCCAUCUGCCUCUAAUGCACGGGCACGUUUAUGGCCGCCGUUAGUUAAGUCGUUGUUAAUUUUACACUAACUGGUUGUUAUGAAGAUGAAUGACGAGGCGGGAAUGACACGCUUGGGACCUUUGCGUUGCAAGAUAGAGCCCGGCAGUAGAGCAUAUAAGGAGGUAGUAAAGUGUAUUCUGAUGUUAAACACGACUGCGUUUAAAUGACCGCAUACGCCUUGGAUAAUAUGAGGUUAGGCAGUUCAACAAUUUAAAGCAUUCCGAAGUCUUUUUUUUUUUUUUAAACCAAUCCAGCACAAACGGUGUAUUUAUUUGAAUGUAUUAUUAAUGGUCACAUUAUUCCUCUAUAUGCAUGUACCUUAACAAAUACACUGAGCGGGACUAGUCAGGUGUUGAUAAAGCAACGAUGGAUUGUGCUGUUAAAUAAUAGGAGUAGUGGAUUUACUAGAUCGGAGGUGGCAUUGAACAGGAGUAAACGCGGACUGGAGUUCCCUCUAGUGGCCACUUACCGUUAGUGUAUGAGAAAGGGGCCUUAACGAGCUCCUGUCCAUUCCGAAGCAUCAACUCCAAAUCAAUGGCACCAAUAAGUUUCAGUCUAGAAUUAAGUCAUUAAAAUACAAGUUAUGGUUGUCCAACACAGUGUUAAACCCAACACUGUCUAUCGAGGGUCAUUGUCCUGUUUGUUUUCCACGUUUUUUUUAUUGGAGCAAACCUGAUAGGUUCAUUAUCAAGCGUCUUCAAAUCCUUGAAUGAUUUGAACCGGGUGCGAUGCAGCAGGAUGAUAAAUAGGUAGGACCGGGAGCAGGACAUGUAUACUGUCAAUAUGUUUUUUUGCAUCCUCGACCAAAACAAUAGCUAUAGUGUAAUUGAUGAAAGAGGAAUAAGAAUAAACAGACAGACAGACAGACAGACAGACAGACAGACAGACAGACAGACAGACAGACAGACAGACAGACAGACAGACAGAACUACAACACGGACAAAAUAUACACACUUAGCCACCUCAUAUACAUAUACAUAUAUUUCUGAUAGUAAAAAAGUUUUAAUUUAUUAUUAUUAUUAUUAUUAUUAUUAUUAUUAUUAUUAUUAUUAUUAUUAUUAUUAUUAUUAUUAUUAUUAUUAUUAUUAUUAUUCAGUUUCCAAAUCAUAUGAUUGCACAAGAAAUUGCAGCGGAGGAAAUCCGCAACAGUCCAAAGAACACUGUUUCUACCUUGGAACGGUUGCACGCAGUCGUACCUCAGAGAGUUUAGUGAUAAAUCAUGUAUUUUUAAUGAAUAUCAAUAGAAGGAGUAUCCCCCCCCACCCCCUUUCCCAAAAGGCAGGAGCCGGGCUAUCUAAUUAGAUUAAGCGGCGGUGCGGGGGGAACAGCGCGGUAAUGACGGCUGUAUCACGGCCGCCACUUUCUAAUGGGCUCUGAAGCAAACUAGGGGGCCUUUCAAACCAUUAACACCGAGGGGGGAAAUAACAAAUCUAAUCUGACAUGACACCCUUCUGUUUCAGUCUGCCUCUUAACCAGAAAGCCUCCAUUACUGGCAAAGUCCCUGCGUCUAAUGCCAUCUGACUCCCCGACUUGUGUGUUCAUGUAGCGCAUCUCUGGAGACCAAGAGGACCUAUUAUUAUCAUAAUUGACCAAUUAUAGGUUACACUCUUAAUGUUUGUUUACACAUGCACAACCCCCGUAAAACAUUAAUCGUGCAAUAAACAGUGCAUUGGAUUAUUGAGUAUUUUUUCAUUAUUGUUUUUAAUUAUUUUUAAUGGGAAAUUUGCACGUGAUAAUUUAAAUUCUGGGAAUGUAGCAUAUAAAUCAAAGAAUACACAACCACAAUAGGUCUUACAAUUUAUAAAGGGGCAAUCUGAGGUUUGGUGAACUCCAGAAAGUUUGAUGCAUGAAGAUAGAUGUUCAUCUGCGUAAAAUAGCAAUUUGGAAAAUAAAAUUUGGAGUCUAACACCGUUUACACACAUCCGGACUAAUAAUGCAAUGGACGUUUAGCCAAGUCUUUUUUUUUAAUGCAAGCCAGCAAAAUCAUCUUGGACCGCAUUGCUCACCUGUAAGUAUUUCUACAUUAACCUAUCUCUCUGACAGACGAAGCAUAUUUAAAGGCAGAGUUAAAUUGUUGCCAUGCACAUAAUUGUAAAUAUUUUCUGCUAAAGUCUUGCAGCAUUUUUUCAACGUAUAAGUAAAUACAAUUCAGGAAAAUAAUGUAUCAUAUUUUUCAUUAAUGUAAACGAAAUAUGUAAACCAUGCAAGUUUCAAACAGGCUAUUGUCAAUAUAUACAGUCACGCACGCCGACUACUCCUAGAACCAAUCGGCUAUUUCAUAUAGUCAUCAUCUGUGAUGCAUUGCAGCACGCACCAUUGCAGUAAGCACACCGAUCCAAGAAAUAUGAUAAACAAAAGUAUUGUUGAACAAGCACGAAAUUAUUCAAGCGAAAUGUCGAUUACGGGAUAUUUGUGUUGUGUUGCAGUCGUUUUUAAUAUAUCUUAAAUACUUAAUGUAGACAACGCUGUCCUGUGCCAUAAUUGUUGAUAAAUAAACAUGAUACAUUUCUGCUAUAAAUAAGUUAAUAAUCCCAAAUGUAAAGCAAAGAAAACAAAAAAAUCUAUAUAAAUAUCCAAUUUUGAAAGCUUUUUUUAAAGGGAGCGGUCAAGUGCGCAAUCUGAUUUGCUCGCUCAACGUUUUAAAAAGGUUUAUGUUCUGAAUGACCACAUUUGACCUAUUUGUUGCUCAGUCAUAUGAAAUCCCAAAAUUCAUUUAUAAUUUAAAAAAAAUGUUGCCAUCACCUUCAUCUUCUCCUUCCAACGGUUUUUGUUUCAUUAAAAAAGUGAGGACGAGUAUUGUCCCUGUUUUCCAAUACCAAUGUCCAAUCACGCCACGAGGUGGCAAUAAAGAGCUUUGAAGCGACUUCUCAGCGUGCAGCUUUGCAGCAUGGAGGUCCAGAGUGGCAGAGGCCGACAGUGAGGCGGCAAUCAGUCAUCUCCCAAGCCAUCAAGCUCCUACACUCAACAAGACUGAUGAUGACCACGCCAUAAAACUGUUGGCGAUGAUGCUCACGUGGAUGGUGAAAAUCUGGAACUCUAGCGUCUCGGCAACAUUUUAAUAAUUGCCAUUUUACAAUUUAUGCUGUACGCUUUAUGGUUUUAAUGGUCUAAAACGGUGCUUGCCAAACUUUUUGCAUCAAGUACCACCUAAAAAAAAAAAAAAACUUAUUAAAGCUCUCAGAGUCCCAAGACCCACAUUAAAAUAAUGGCAUUUUGCCCCGCAAAGUUUGAGAUAGUGCAAUUCCAUCUACUCGUUCAUGUGUAGCCAAUACGUUUGCUGAUUCAUUUAUUUUUUUAAUUUUAAUAUUUUUUUUGUCGCUGCCAAACGUUGCACAUUUCCAUCCUUUUAUCAGAAAUAUAGUGCAAAUGACAAAUGUAUUCGCUUCCCAAGGAAAUGUUUUUGCACUCAUAAAAUUUUAGGUCAUACUGAUACAAUUAAAAUGACUUGCACGUAAAAAUUAAUUGAAAAAUACCUUAGGUUUCAUUUGUGACUAUAAUUCCAUCUAUUACAGUUUUUAUCGCAAUCUUGACGGUUUUCUUGCUAUGUAUGGCUUGCCUUCGCAUGAUCAGUACCAUGGACAGCUCAUCUCUCCUGCCCCUCCCGUUCCGUCGGCUGCAUUUACGCCGAUUGACCGCACCUCCGGCUCAUUUCUACACCUGCUCCCGACUUGUUAGCCGCCCUAUAUAAACCCCGCACACCCAGCACUCUGUUUCAAUUCCUUCUGUUGCCCUACCUGUUGUCUGGCCCAAGUUGCUAUCCUGUAUGCUUCUCGUGUUGCUCCCUGUUGUCCAGCUUUCCAGAUAAAAUCCAUUCUGCACAUGGUCGCCCUGUCUCCGCCCAUGACAAAUUAUCUUCCUUUUACAUUGAACCAGUCAAGAAAUUACAAUUUUUGAAGGGUCAUUUUUACAAAAACUGAGACCAUGAACAUAAGCACACUGCUUCACUCAGACUGUUUGGGAACUUGGAACGUUGUUCAAAUGUGCUGUUUAGCUAUUCAGAGUGCUUCCAAAAAUUGAGCCCAGGAAGGUGUGCUCUUCUGCUUUCUUCUUUAUGUUUACUGCUUUGCCUUACUGUUUUUAAAUAGUAAUACUAUUUUAACGUAGUUGUAUUAAAACAUGGGAAAUACUGUA